rnacentral:rRNA from 1 species
UGAGGAAUAUUGGUCAAUGGACGCAAGUCUGAACCAGCCAUGCCGCGUGAAGGAUGAAGGUCCUCUGGAUUGUAAACUUCUUUUCUCUGGGGCGAAAAAAGGUCUUUCUAGAUCACUUGACAGUACCAGAGGAAUAAGCACCGGCUAACUCCGUGCCAGCAGCCGCGGUAAUACGGAGGGUGCAAGCGUUAUCCGGAUUCACUGGGUUUAAAGGGUGCGUAGGUGGGCAGGUAAGUCCGUGGUGAAAUCCUAUAGCUUAACUAUAGAACUGCCAUGGAUACUAUUUGUCUUGAAUAUCGUAGAGGUAAGCGGAAUAUGUCAUGUAGCGGUGAAAUGCUUAGAUAUGACAUAGAACACCAAUUGCGAAGGCAGCUUGCUAUGCGAUUAUUGACACUGAGGC